rnacentral:tRNA from 1 species
GUGCGCAUAGCUCAGCUGGAUAGAGCGUCUGACUACGGAUCAGAAGGCCGGGGGUUCGAAUCCUCCUGUGCACG